rnacentral:rRNA from 1 species
AGUGAACGCUGGCGGCAGGCCUAACACAUGCAAGUCGAACGGCAGCACAGGGGUAGCAAUACCCUGGGUGGCGAGUGGCGGACGGGUGAGGAAUACGUCGGAAUCUGCCUAUUUGUGGGGGAUAACGUAGGGAAACUUACGCUAAUACCGCAUACGACCUACGGGUGAAAGCGGAGGACCUUCGGCUUCGCGCAGAUAGAUGAGCCGACGUCGGAUUAGCUAGUUGGCGGGGUAAAGGCCCACCAAGGCGACGAUCCGUAGCUGGUCUGAGAGGAUGAUCAGCCACACUGGAACUGAGACACGGUCCAGACUCCUACGGGAGGCAGCAGUGGGGAAUAUUGGACAAUAGGGCGCAAGCCUGAUCCAGCCAUGCCGCGUGUGUGAAGAAGGCC